rnacentral:rRNA from 1 species
UACGGAGGGUGCGAGCGUUGUCCGGAAUCACUGGGCGUAAAGGGCGCGUAGGCGGCCCAUUAAGUGUGUGGUGAAAGCCCGGGGCUCAACUCCGGGUCGGCCUUGCGAACUGGUGGGCUCGAGCACUGUAGAGGCAGGUGGAAUUCCGGGUGUAGCGGUGGAAUGCGUAGAGAUCCGGAAGAACACCGGUGGCGAAGGCGGCGUGCUGGGCAGUAGCUGACGCUGAGGCGCGACAGCGUGGGGAGCAAACAGG